UACAGCCAUAUCAUAUUGAAACACCUGUUCUCAUAUGAUCACCAAAGUUAAGUAAUGUCAAGCCUGGUCAGUAUCUAUAUGGGUAACUACUUGGGAAAACCAGUUGCUGUAAG